UGAGGUGACAGGGGCUGCAGGGCCUAGGCAGGGGUUCAGCUUCUGCUAGAAAUUAGGGGGGGAUAUUACAAGAUUGAACAGAGAUAUGAUUGACUUAGGUCCUUCGUGGGCCCUCUCACAGCUGUGUCCACAUUGGAAUGAAGGCAGGUAAGAGGCCGUUACAACAGGCUGGUGAGACGUGGGCCUGGCUUGGAGCCCUGGAGGUGGUGGUUGGGGUCCGAUUCCAGAUGUACAAGGCAUUGAAUGUGGUGUGUGAGAGAGAGACGAGAGCGGGGAUGACCUUGGUCAGCAUGUUGGCUGUGGCAGUCUUCAGAGACACCAAUACAGGAAAGGGUAUAUGGAGGGGAAAAGUCAAGGGUCUGGUUUUGACUUGCUGCGUUUCAUAUGAAGAUUGUGCACAGCUCGUUGGACUGGAGUUUGACCUUCAGGAGAGAGGUCAGGCAGGCGAUAACAGCUGGGAUCAUCAGUGAGCAGAUGCUGCUUGGAAUUGAAUGGGACUGCGAAGUGAUUAGAAGAGUUGACAUAGACAGAGAGAGAAUAAAGACGGAAAGACGGAAGAUAGGAAAUCUCACCAUGAUCUUGAAAACCCUCACAUUUAUCGUCAAAGUGGAGGAGAAUCAAAUGGCAAACACGACUGAGAUAGAGCAGACAGAUAGGCCUGCCCUUUGAACCUGGUCUCCCUGUCUUGAUUCUCAGACUUGACUCAGCCCUAAUCUGCAUGACCUUCCUCCCUGCCUCAUGAGUCCCUUUGGAACGCAGCUCUUGGUUCAGGCCUGUGCAGCACCCAGACAAGGCAUGUGCUCCUCAGCAAGGGAAGAUGAUUGAAGCUGUGCCCAUCCAAGCAAUGAGAUGCGGGCCUCAGGCUUGCAUCCACACUUGGCCACGAAUUGCAUACAAUUGGAAAGUUGCUUAACUUCAGUUUCCUCAUCAGUGAAGCGGGGACUGAUCAUCUACUGGACUGUGUCACUGCGAGGAUUAUCCUUCCUGGUACCUGAUGGUUUCCCAGUAAAUGGUGGUUACCAAAUGUCCUGUCUUCUCAAAAUACAACAUCCCUUUAGUCAUCUUUCUAAGGUGGAUUCCUAAAUCUAAAUACAAGUUUCUAAAGGGAUAUGUUGUCACCAAGGAAUGUAGCUGCUUCCCUGUUGACAUUUCUUGACUCAUCCAUCAUUUGCUGAUUCACCUUUCGUGGGACACGCACAGAGCCGGGCUUUGGGCAGUCGGUGAUGAGCAGGAAGAGCAUGGCGCUCAAAAUUCACUGCAGCCGGCAGACAGCUGUAACAAAAAAGUCAAGUCAUAAAUCAUGUGAUUGUAAAUUGCAGCAGGUGCUGGGCAGGAGACAUAAAGGGUGAGGAGAAGCAGAGCGAUGGGUUAGGGCUGCUUCCAGAAGAGUCCGUGGAGGAAGGUCUUUCUGAGACGUGGAGGUGUAAGCCGCCAUCCGAAGGGCAUGAAGGAACAAGGUCACGCACCCUUCCUGACAUUCAUUGAGAGACUGGGCUGUAUAAUGAGUGGAUCCAGUCAACCAUCUUUAAAUAUUUGCUGUUUCUAAUCUCUGUGCGGGAGGAGAAAUCUUAGGAUCGUGCAGGUUAGAGAAACAUAAAGAUGAAAGCGAAUUGACUCUGGAGGAGGCCUCUCCCAUGAACCAAGUCCCUAAACUUCACACCAGCUCAUCGAGUUUCUUGGGGGCCACGUUGGCUCCUGGGUUCUUGGCGAAGCUCCGACAAGUGGGGGUGGGGGUAAGUGACUUCGGGACAAGAGAGGUGAUGCUGUGAACUCCUCACAGGUCUGACAGGUUAUCUUCGUGAAUUCAGUGACCAGCUGAGUCUGCUUCGUGCCCUCUGAGCCAAAGGAUUACCUGUCAACCUGGGAGGGAGCCUCGACAAACAGACCAGACCGACUCGUGCCCUCGCGGAGGUGGUGGUUCUCCGUCUGGCUACUGAAGGCUGUCACCUGUGCCACAGAAUAAGCUGUCCCCUCACUAGAACCGCCACCUCUGCACUCCUCUGCACAGACAGUUUAAUCUGGGUUAGAACCGUGUUUGGAGUAAGAAGCAGGGCGGGAGGGUUGCCCACGUGCCUCCCACCUGCGUCAGGUUUAUGGCCGCUCUCGAAGGGUUGUCUUUGAAACACAGAGCUACCGUCUGUGGAUUUGAAUUUGAGGCUGACUAGGCCCAUGGAAGAGAGACUGGGAGGAGUGUACGCGUGGCAACCUCUCUUCCGGGGUCUCCACAGCUUCCCCCGGGAUGAACAUCCUCUCCUCAGGAGAGCUUGUUUCCUAUUCCUGGAUUGUUUCCCUGACUCCAAGAAGAGCAGCCCUGAUUCUGGGAACUCCACAUUAGGGCCCACCGGACAGACAGGGGCAAGGGAUAGAUUCAAGUUUGAGAUCUUAUUUUUGCUACUGAAAUGCUCUCCUCAGUGGUACAGAGGAAUUGCAAAAUAUGUCUCCCUCUUCAGAAGAUGAAGAGUUCGGGCACAGAGAGGGCUCAAGAGUCGUAGGACAGGUUUGCAGGAAGCAUCCAAACAGGCGGUAUUCACACACUCGUUCUGUCCUUGCUUUGAGGGGGAGGGGCUGGGAGAGCUCAGAGAGCCUCCCCCACUGGAUACUAAUUUUGGUGACAGAUGAUUGACAGGCAGUGGGUGUUGUGGACAGCCCCAGAGAGCCACCAGGCAGCCCAGGGGCAAUGGGUGACCCUGAGACAAAUUCACUGUGCGACUCUGAGCAAAUCACAUCACUUAUUCUCGGUCCCGACUUCCUCAUUUUAAAAAUGCAGUUGCACUCUAAUAACUGUUAUGGGUGCUCUUCCAACCUGGCUGUGCUGCUUUGGGGGAUAAAUAAGGCAUUUCCAGGGCCAACUACAUCUACAGUGAACCAGCUGAAGUCCUAAAAAUCCCCUUAGGUUUUUAUACGGGGCUGCAUCGAGCAGGGCGGAGGGUCAGGUGGAUGAGAGGUGGUGUGUGCCCGUGUGACUGUUACGGGAAGAUGUUCCCCACUGUGGUCACUGUCAUUGCUGUGGUUGUGUUUAUGAUGUAAAUGAUUAUAAUUGAAAUGACAAUGUUUCAUAUAAAAUCAUAACCAUUUAUGCACAAAGUCGAUGAUGACUGGAAACACAGCCCCUUCAUACGCAGGUUAAAGACUGGGAAGGGAUGGGAUGCGCUCCUUUGAAAACAUAGUUGUGUGUGGAUGAUGGAAUUAAGGUGUGUUUUACCUAUUUCUCUGCAUUUUUAUGUUUUCCUUCGAGUAUUAACUAUUUCAUGAUCACUAUAGUGAACUAUAGUUUUAUUUUGAACUAUUUCGUACCUAAACACAAGAUGAACUUCUUUUAUGUCCAACAAUAAUAGUGGUGAAAUUAUUACCGCACGUUGGCCAAUCCAGCGAACCUUGAGAAAUGCUUCCCACUUAUACAUGAGGUUUUGACUUUCUCUGCAAAAACUUGCUUUUCACAGAACAAUCUGAGGCAAAGACAGCACUCGGGUUUGCAGAAAUGUUUUCAUUUAGGUUCUUGUGUGAAUUCCAUCGGCCCCUGUGGUAACAGGGAGAGAAAGCAGGAGAAGUCUUCGGCUUAGCAGAAUGUCGGAAAUACCAGCCUUUUGGAAAAUAAAUCCUCACACUCAGGAAACUCAGCAGUUAAGACAAUUUGCUGGCAUUUCGGUGUCAGGCGUUCCACACCCCAGUUUCUUCUGUAGGAUGAGAAAUUGGAAAAAGGACACAGCUCUUUCUAGCAAUAAAAGGCUCACUAAC